rnacentral:tRNA from 1 species
UCCUCGAUAGCUCAGUCGGUAGAGCAGGUGACUGUUAAUCACCGGGUCGUAGGUUCAAGUCCUACUCGAGGAGCCA